UGAACGCUGGCGGCAUGCCUUACACAUGCAAGUCGAACGGUAACGCGGGGCAACCUGGCGACGAGUGGCGAACGGGUGAGUAAUGCAUCGGAACGUGCCCAGUAGUGGGGGAUAGCCCGGCGAAAGCCGGAUUAAUACCGCAUACGACCUACGGGUGAAAGCGGGGGACCGUAAGGCCUCGCGCUAUUGGAGCGGCCGAUGUCAGAUUAGGUAGUUGGUGGGGUAAAGGCCUACCAAGCCUACGAUCUGUAGCUGGUCUGAGAGGACGACCAGCCACACUGGGACUGAGACACGGCCCAGACUCCUACGGGAGGCAGCAGUGGGGAAUUUUGGACAAUGGGCGCAAGCCUGAUCCAGCCAUGCCGCGUGCGGGAAGAAGGCCUUCGGGUUGUAAACCGCUUUUGUCAGGGAAGAAACGCCUUGAGAUAAUACCUCGGGGUAAUGACGGUACCUGAAGAAUAAGCACCGGCUAACUACGU
rnacentral:rRNA from 1 species